UACGGGGGAUGCAAGCGUUAUCCGGAUUUAUUGGGUUUAAAGGGUGCGUAGGCUGUGAGGUAAGUCAGCGGUGAAAUGCCCCCGCUCAACGGGGUGAAGUGCCAUUGAUACUGCCUUGCUGGAAUGCGGAUGCCGUGGGAGGAAUGUGUGGUGUAGCGGUGAAAUGCAUAGAUAUCAGGAGGAACAUCGGUGGCGUAAGCGCUUUACUGGGCCGUAAUUGACGCUGAGGAACGAAAGCCAGGGUAGCAAAUGGG
rnacentral:rRNA from 1 species